GAUGAAGAACGUAGCGAACUGCGAUAAGUAAUGUGAAUUGCAGAAUUCAGUGAAUCAUCGAGUCUUUGAACGCACAUUGCGCCCCCUGGCAUUCCGGGGGGCAUGCCUGUCCGAGCGUCAUUGCUGCCCUUCAAGCCCGGCUUGUGUGUUGGGUCGUCGUCCCCCCCGGGGGACGGGCCCGAAAGGCAGCGGCGGCACCGCGUCCGGUCCUCGAGCGUAUGGGGCUUUGUCACCCGCUCGAUUAGGGCCGGCCGGGCGCCAGCCGGCGUCUCCAACCUUCUAUUUUACCAGGUUGACCUCGGAUCAGGUAGGGAUACCCGCUGAACUUAAGCAUAUCAAUAAGCAGAGGA
rnacentral:misc_RNA from 1 species